UCGUGCUAGACGGGGAUGUAGCGGCACCCUGUAACCUGCAAUCCGCUAUAGCAGGGUUGAAUUCCUUUCUGAGGCUUAUAUCCUGCAGGGCCGGCCCGGGUAAGUGGCGUUGAAGGCCGGGUC
rnacentral:SRP_RNA from 1 species